GGAAUAAUGAUCUAGUGGUUAUGAUUUUUAACUUUUAAUUAAAAAACAGUGGUUCAAUUCCACUUUAUUCUA
rnacentral:tRNA from 1 species